rnacentral:rRNA from 1 species
GAGUUUGAUCUUGGCUCAGGAUGAACGCUGGCGGCGUGCUUAACACAUGCAAGUCGAACGAUGAAGCCCAGCUUGCUGAGUGGAUUAGUGGCGAACGGGUGAGUAACACGUGAGUAACCUGCCCUUGACUCUAGGAUAAGCCCGGGAAACUGGGUCUAAUACUGGAUAGGAACGUCUACCGCAUGGUGGAUGUUGGAAAGAAUUUCGGUCAUGGAUGGACUCGCGGCCUAUCAGCUUGUUGGUGAGGUAAUGGCUCACCAAGGCGACGACGGGUAGCCGGCCUGAGAGGGUGACCGGCCACACUGGGACUGAGACACGGCCCAGACUCCUACGGGAGGCAGCAGUGGGGAAUAUUGCACAAUGGGCGAAAGCCUGAUGCAGCGACGCCGCGUGAGGGAUGACGGCCUCGGUUGUAACCGUACUUCUAGUAGGAGGAAGACGAAGUAGACGGUACCGU